rnacentral:rRNA from 1 species
GAAGAAAAAGGGGGUGUGGGGUUUAGAGACCUUCACAAUUUCAACCUUGCUAUGUUAGCAAAACAGUGUUGGCGACUACUCUAGAACCCUGACUCUCUUUGUGCACGUGUCCUUAGUGCCAAGUACUAUCCAAAUGUAGAUAUUCUAAGUGCAGGUCUGAAGAAGGGUUCUUCUUAUACUUGGCAAAGUAUUAUAGUAGGAAUCCAAACUUUC